AACCUCCAGUUUCCUUCCCCAUUGGACCUAAACACUGGUAUGAGUGGUUACAAAGGAGAAAAAGUAACAUUGACACUGACUUCAAAGUUUUUGUAGUGCAUGGCCUAAUUUCAAACAGGG